GGUUUGUGGCUCAAGUGGUAGAGUGUUUGCCUAGCAUGUAUGAGGCACUGUGUUCAAUCCCUGGCACCA
rnacentral:tRNA from 1 species